AUUGAACGCUGGCGGCAGGCCUAACACAUGCAAGUCGAGCGGAUGAAGGGAGCUUGCUCCUGGAUUCAGCGGCGGACGGGUGAGUAAUGCCUAGGAAUCUGCCUGGUAGUGGGGGAUAACGUCCGGAAACGGGCGCUAAUACCGCCUACGUCCUGAGGGAGAAAGUGGGGGAUCUUCGGACCUCACGCUAUCAGAUGAGCCUAGGUCGGAUUAGCUAGUUGGUGGGGUAAAGGCCUACCAAGGCGACGAUCCGUAACUGGUCUGAGAGGAUGAUCAGUCACACUGGAACUGAGACACGGUCCAGACUCCUACGGGAGGCAGCAGUGGGGAAUAUUGGACAAUGGGCGAAAGCCUGAUCCAGCCAUGCCGCGUGUGUGAAGAAGGUCUUCGGAUUGUAAAGCACGUUAAGUUGGGAGGAAGGGCAGUAAGUUAAUACCUUGCGGUUUUGACGUUACCAACAGAAUAAGCACCGGCUAACUUCGUG
rnacentral:rRNA from 1 species